rnacentral:tRNA from 1 species
GCCCUCGUAGCUCAAUGGACAGAGCACCUGGCUUCGGACCAGGGGGUUGUGGGUUCGAAUCCUGCCGAGGGCG